rnacentral:rRNA from 1 species
UACGUAGGAGGCGAGCGUUGUCCGGAGUUACUGGGCGUAAAGGGCUCGUAGGUGGCCAACUAAGUCAGACGUGAAAUCCCUCGGCUUAACCGGGGAACUGCGUCUGAUACUGGAUGGCUUGAGUUUGGGAGAGGGAUGCGGAAUUCCAGGUGUAGCGGUGAAAUGCGUAGAUAUCUGGAGGAACACCGGUGGCGAAGGCGGCAUCCUGGACCAACACUGACACUGAGGAGCGAAAGCCAGGGGAGCAAACGGG